GAGCGUUUGGCCGAGUGGUUAAGGCGCUGUGUUUAGGUCAUCUGUACAAAGAUACUUAAAUCCCGCAGUGGGAAACCGCGCAGGUUCGAAUCCUGCAGCGCUCA